CAGUCUCAGUUCGGAUUGAAGGCUGAAAUUCGCCUUCAUGAAGCCGGAAUUGCUAGUAAUGGCAGGUCAGCAUACUGCCGUGAAUACGUUCCCGGGCCUUGUACACACCGCCCGUCACACCAUGAGAGUUGGGGAUACCCGAAGCCUGUGAGCUAACUUUUAGAGGCAGCAGUCGAAGGUAGAAUCAAUGAUUGGGGUGAAGUCGUAACAAGGUACC
rnacentral:rRNA from 1 species